UGGGGAAUAUUGCACAAUGGGGGAAACCCUGAUGCAGCGACGCCGCGUGAACGAAGAAGGUUUUCGUAUCGUAAAGUUCUGUCCUAUGGGAAGAUAAUGACAGUACCAUAGAAGAAAGCUCCGGCUAAAUACGUGCCAGCAGCCGCGGUAAUACGUAUGGAGCGAGCGUUGUCCGGAAUUAUUGGGCGUAAAGGGUACGCAGGCGGUUUAAUAAGUCGAAUGUUAAAGAUCGGGGCUCAACCCCGCAAAGCAUUGGAAACUGAUAAACUUGAGUAGUGGAGAGGAAAGUGGAAUUCCUAGUGUAGUGGUGAAAUACGUAGAUAUUAGGAGGAAUACCAGUAGCGAAGGCGACUUUCUGGACACAAACUGACGCUGAGGUACGAAAGCGUGGGGAGCAAACAGG
rnacentral:rRNA from 1 species